rnacentral:tRNA from 1 species
AGUGAUAUAGCUCAGUGAUAGAGCACUUGCCUAGUAUGUGCUAGGCCCUGGAUUCAAUCCUCAAUAUCACUA